AGUGAACGCUGGCGGUAGGCCUAACACAUGCAAGUCGAACGGCAGCACAGUAAGAGCUUGCUCUUACGGGUGGCGAGUGGCGGACGGGUGAGGAAUACAUCGGAAUCUACUUUUUCGUGGGGGAUAACGUAGGGAAAGUUACGCUAAUACCGCAUACGACGUACGGGUGAAAGCAGGGGAUCUUCGGACCUUGCGCGAGUGAAUGAGCCGAUGUCGGAUUAGCUAGUUGGCGGGGUAAAGGCCCACCAAGGCGACGAUCCGUAGCUGGUCUGAGAGGAUGAUCAGCCACACUGGAACUGAGACACGGUCCAGACUCCUACGGGAGGCAGCAGUGGGGAAUAUUGGACAAUGGGCGCAAGCCUGAUCCAGCCAUACCGCGUGGGUGAAGAAGUCCUUCGGGUUGUAAAGCCCUUUUGUUGGGAAAGAAAAGCAGCAGGUUAAUACCCCGCUGUUCUGACGGUACCCAAAGAAUAAGCACCGGCUAACUUCGUG
rnacentral:rRNA from 1 species